AUGAAUUGUUUGAGAUGGAACUGCUGGAGGCUUAGGAACCCUGAGGCGGUUCGUGAGCUUCGCGGCAUUGUGAAGCAAGAAGUUCCUGCCCUGCUGUUUGUUAUGGAGACUAAAAUCAGGGCGAAAAGAGUAGAAGAUCUGCGUCACCAACUAGGUUUCGCGGGAUGCUUUGCUGUGGACAGUGAAGGACUAAGUGGUGGUAUAGGUCUUUUCUGGUCCAAGGAAUAUGAUGUUCAGUUGAAAAAUUAUAGUUCCGUCCAUAUUGAUAAAUGGUGCGGAUGA
rnacentral:rRNA from 1 species